rnacentral:tRNA from 1 species
GGUCGCGUAGCUCAGUUGGUAGAGCACUACCUUGACAUGGUAGUGGUCGAAGGUUCGAAUCCUUUCGUGGCCACCA